ensembl:lncRNA
UAUAGACCAGAUAACUCUGAUGUUGCGAGAAGAAUGUUUGUUCAUAAGAGUUCUGAGAACAUUUCCUGCCAUUCAAUGUAAUUAGCAGAUAUAAAUGUUAGUUUGUAUUAGUAUGUCAGUGAAUAUGAUUCCUGUGUUGUCCUGUGGUUUGUUCAGAUAUGGCUGCUCGUGCUGCAGAUCUUCCUCAUACACUCACAUCUGCAGUCUUCAUCAGGUCUGCGUUUGAGGCGUUUGAUCCUCGUAUCCGUGCUGUGGGGGUGGGUCAGUCCGAGGACCGAGCGGGGCUGCGGAGUUAAUUGCUAGUUUGGAGGCUGACGCUGAGUGAAUGUGGCAGCCUGUGAGCAGAGAGCCAGUGAGAUCCUGCUGCAUAUUCACUCUGUCCAAGACGAUCGGCGCAUCUGUCAGCGUGGGACCCGGCUCUGGGGGAACAGGGAGCUGUGCUGUUGCUCUGGGCUGAAGGCGGACGACGCUGGACACUGACACGGGGCAAAAAGAGCCACAUCGCAUUUACAACUCAAUUACAGCCACCUCGCCGUCUGCGAGAGCACGAGAGGAUGCUGUUGGUCACCGCACAGCUGUUUCAUGAGAAAAAGCCUUUUCUUUGUCAGUUCGCUUUGUUGCGCUGUCCGGAGACGUCCGUGUGUCCUGCAGCAGAUCCAGGCCUCAUAUUCCCGCGUUGCACAUUGCUGUCACUUACCUGGUCUGGAGGUGAGCUCCGCAUCUCACCUGCGCUGAUGCACGCCUGACUCAGUGUGGCCACUAAUUACUGCCCCGAGAUGUUUUUCUCAUGCUCUCAUUCAGUUGUUGGGACCGAUUUCCAUGCUGAUGAUCAAAGUAAGGCUUCCUCUGAAACACUCUGUCUUAUUUACAUGAGGAGGACGACCACAUUUGCAUCUAAAUUUACGUGCGACCCAAACCCUUGAGUGGUAAGAUGAAAAUGAAGAGUCACCGUGUGUUAGCACCGCACAUGAGAUGGGAAGAAAAUAUAGCUAACAUGCUUUGCUAACAUGGGCUCUGGGAAAAACAUGCACUGCUGACGCAUGCAGCGUGAAACAGGCCUUACAAUGAACAAAGAUCAUAGCGGUGGCAAG